rnacentral:rRNA from 1 species
GUCCUUUUGAAUAUUUAUUUAAGGUCUGACCUGCCCUAUGAUUAUUUAAAUGGCCGCGGUAUUCUAACCGUGCAAAGGUAGCAUAAUCAUUUGUCUUUUAAUUGGAGGCUGGAAUGAAUGGUUGGACGAGGAAUAGACUUUCUUAUUUGCAUUAAGCUGAAUUUUAUUUUUAAGUUAAAAAGCUUAAAUUUUUUUAUAGGACGAGAAGACCCUAUAGAAUUUUAUAUUUAUUAGUUUACUCUUUUUUUAGUUGAUUUAUUUUGAGUAUAUUAUAUUUAUUUUGUUGGGGUGACAGGAAAAUUUAUUUAACUUUUUUUUUUUAAUUUCAUUUAUUUAUGUUUUUAUGAUCCGUAUUUUACGAUUAAAAGAUCAAAUUACCUUAGGGAUAACAGCGUUAUUCUUUUGGAGAGUUCUUAUCGAUAAAGGAGUUUGCGA